AUGGCGACGGGUCAAAUUUUCUCGAAAACCACCCAAGCAUUAUUCUAUAAUUAUAAGCAACUCCCUAUACAACGGAUGCUUGAUUUUGACUUCCUCUGUGGGAGAGAAACACCUUCUGUUGCUGGAAUAAUCAAUCCUGGUUCUGAUGGGUUCCAGAAACUUUUCUUUGGACAAGAAGAAAUUGCUAUUCCGGUUCAUCCUACAAUUGAAGCUGCUUGCAAUGCACACCCAACUGCGGAUGUAUUUAUCAACUUUGCAUCUUUCCGGAGUGCGGCUGCUUCUUCAAUGUCAGCUUUGAAGCAGCCAACUGUCCGAGUUGUAGCCAUUAUAGCAGAGGGUGUUCCUGAAUCAGACGCAAAGCAGCUAAUUAGCUAUGCACGUGCUAACAACAAGGUCAUCAUUGGACCUGCAACAGUUGGAGGAGUUCAAGCUGGUGCUUUCAAGAUUGGUGAUACUGCUGGAACCAUUGAUAACAUAAUUCAAUGCAAGCUGUACAGGCCUGGAUCAGUUGGUUUUGUGUCUAAAUCGGGUGGCAUGUCAAAUGAGCUGUACAACACGAUUGCAAGAGUGACUGAUGGUAUUUAUGAAGGAAUUGCAAUUGGUGGGGAUGUUUUCCCUGGCUCAACUCUUUCAGAUCACAUUCUGCGUUUUAACAACAUACCCCAGGUUAAAAUGAUGGUUGUUCUUGGGGAGCUUGGAGGAAGUGAUGAGUAUUCACUCGUCGAAGCCUUGAAACAAGGAAAGGUUCAGAAACCUGUUGUUGCUUGGGUUAGUGGGACAUGUGCACGCCUAUUCAAAUCUGAGGUCCAGUUUGGCCAUGCUGUAAGUUGUAAACAAGGUGCGAAGAGCGGUGGUGAGUUGGAAUCCGCACAAGCUAAGAAUCAGGCACUAAGGGAUGCUGGGGCAGUUGUCCCGACUUCAUUUGAAGCUCUUGAAAGUGUGAUUAAGGAGACAUUUGAGAAGCUGGUUGAGGAAGGAAAUAUUCCUCCUGUCCCUGAGGUUACACCUCCCCCCAUUCCUGAGGAUCUUAAAACUGCCAUUAAAAGUGGGAAGGUCCGAGCUCCCACACACAUUAUCUCCACUAUCUCUGAUGAUAGAGGUGAGGAACCUUGCUAUGCUGGUGUGCCCAUGUCUACAAUUAUUGAAAGGGGUUAUGGAGUUGGUGAUGUUAUUUCUCUUUUGUGGUUCAAGCGCAGCCUUCCUCGUUAUUGUACUCAAUUUAUUGAGAUAUGCAUCAUGCUUUGCGCUGAUCAUGGUCCUUGUGUAUCCGGUGCUCACAAUUCUAUAGUUACUGCUAGGGCUGGCAAGGACCUUGUUUCCAGCUUGGUAUCUGGAUUAUUGACAAUUGGCCCCCGAUUUGGUGGUGCAAUUGAUGAUGCCGCUCGGUACUUCAAAGAUGCAUAUGAUAGGGGUCUUACGCCUUAUGAAUUUGUUGAGGGCAUGAAAAAGAAGGGAAUCCGUGUCCCUGGGAUUGGUCACAGGAUCAAAAGCAGAGACAACAGGGACAAGAGAGUGCAGCUUUUACAGAAAUAUGCUCACACACACUUCCCUUCAGUCAAGUACAUGGAGUACGCUGUUCAGGUUGAGACCUACACCCUGUCAAAGGCCAACAAUUUGGUUAUGAACGUUGACGGUGCGAUUGGCUCGCUUUUCUUGGAUCUUCUUUCUGGGAGUGGAAUGUUCAGCAAGCAAGAGAUCGAUGAGAUUGUAGAGAUUGGGUAUCUUAAUGGACUCUUUGUGCUUGCACGUUCAAUUGGCCUAAUUGGCCACACCUUUGAUCAGAAGAGGCUCAAGCAACCACUCUACCGUCACCCUUGGGAGGAUGUCCUCUACACCAAGUGA
rnacentral:rRNA from 1 species